GUCCGUCAUUUUUUAAAAUUUAUAUUGAACCAAAAAGCGAAUUGUCCCCCAUUUUCCCAUAUCUCUUUCUCUCUCUUCUCUCCCUUCUCACUAAAAUCAAAAUGUUGCGCCGUCGCCACCCCACAUCGUCGUUGCGUUUUUCUCUCCUUGAGAGUUAGUCCCCUCGCCUCCCUGCCCCAUCUCCGCCGCCAUCCAUCGUCCCACUACCUCGUUUCCUUAGCUUAUUAAGAUAUGAAAAAGGAUGAAGAAAAAGUGCAACAACAGAACCUGCAUUCUUUUCCAAAAAGGGAAAGGGAAAAGGAAACUCAUCUUCGAGCAGAGGAAACAACAAAUUUAAAUCCGGAAGAAAAGAUUUCAAGUUUGUUAGAAAAGGGUCAAAUAUUCAUCGAUUAGGCUAUAAAGUACGAGUCUUCUCUUUUCAGGGUUAUAGUAUAUAGAACCUAAAUAAUAAACGAAUUGAUUGUAGUCAGGUCAGAGCCUUCUAUUGUCUGUUGGAGGAGAUUGAAUGAACUUCAUACCGCACCUUACUUCAUUGUUA